GACGAACGCUGGCGGCGUGCUUAACACAUGCAAGUCGAACGGAGUGGCGAACGGGUGAGUAACACGUGGGUGAUCUGCCUUGCACUUCGGGAUAAGCUUGGGAAACUGGGUCUAAUACCGGAUAGUGCAAGAUGAGCUCGGGGCCUAUCAGCUUGUUGGUGGGGUAAUGGCCUACCAAGGCGUCGACUGGUAGCCGGCCUGAGAGGGUGGACGGCCACAUUGGGACUGAGAUACGGCUCAGACUCCUACGGGAGGCAGCAGUGGGGAAUAUUGCACAAUGGGCGGAAGCCUGAUGCAGCGACGCCGUGUGGGGGAUGAAGGCCCUCGGCUUGUAAGGUCCCUUCGACAGGGACGCGGUACCUGCAUAAGAAGUGGCGGAUAACUACGCGUAAGCAGCCGCGGUAAUUC
rnacentral:rRNA from 1 species